UUAAGACAACCAAUGUCUUUUUAAUGAGCAACGAAGGUGGAUAAAAGAUUAUUAAUUAAAAUGAGGUAAAUGUAACAAAAGAAUUUAUAGUAACUGUAUAUAUAUCUUUUUUUUUUUUUUUUUUUUUUACAAAACUGAAUAGUGGAUUAUUUACAAAUUCCUUUGUUUUCUGACCACUACACAAUUUAUUAUUUAGACAUUAAAAUUUAUUUUUUGCAAAAAUAUAGAAUAUACAUAAUUGCUACACAGUCAUAAGUUCUCAUACCAACAUUAUAGAUUAUUUAUUUAUGAAGGAUUUAUUUGACUGUUACUUUACCUUUUUUUUUUUUUUUUUCUUUUUAGAGAAAUAUAAAAGCAUGUAAAGGCUUAACCUCACCCUUGUUACAUCAACACAAUGUUGAAUGUUACACACCUAAUACUUGAACGUAAUGCACUACCAUGCCAUUGUUAUAGGCAGUAGGGGUGAUUCAGUGCACAAACAUGUUAAUAUUAGUUUAAUAUAGCAGACGAUGUGUUUAUGUCUGCCAGAUUUUUACCUGCAGCACAUGUGUGUGACAGUUGUUGACGCUCUUUUUAGAUUUACCUAUGACUUUGUCUGUUUGUUCACACAGCUGACAGGUAUGAGGCCAUCAUGUGCAACAUGGAAUCGCACUUACUCUCACUAAAAUACUUUUUCCUGCGUCACCAAUCACCACAGGAGCUGUGGAGCACUGUUAUUACUACAUCAACUCACUGCCAUUUUCAAUUUCACACAACGAAUGGAGAGAGGAGGUGGAGACUACUUAUCACUCCUAGAGAGAAUUUCUAAGGGUCAUGUUUUGGAGUAGGGCAGGAAGUUUUUCCUGGGUAUUUAUGUGCCGAGAGGAUGUGCCGUGGAGCACGAGGGAGGCCGACAGGGUGGCAGACCCCUGUGUGAGUAGCAUGACGGGAGGGAAGAGGAAGUGAGCUGUGUGUCCACCACUGUUUGUCUUCCCCUGCGGUUCUGCCCGGCUCUGUCACAGACCAUUGUGGCCUGGGUAGAUUGAUGGGCAGCAGUGGCAGGAAGCUGAAAGCUGGGAAAAAAAACUCUGAAGCAGACAACAUGUGGUUCCAUAUUCAAUAAGAAUGUAUUGGUUCCUACUCCAUUACUGCCAGCCAUGAUGCCCAACCUCAAGUUCAGGAGCGCUGAACUGGAAUCAGCUUUGAGAACCAGGAGCAGCAUAGGAUGAAAAGGAAUCGGAUCCCAGAUGAGUCCUUCUGCUUUUGAGCUGCAUUAUGAACGCCGGUCCAUAUGGCAGGGAACCGAGGAGGCUGCAGUGAGUGGGCUGUGCUGAAGGAAGCGCCCUGACUGAGCUCUACAGGAGGCUGUGCUCAGGAAACCCAAACCCUCAGUGACCUCUGACCUUUGCUACCGCUGCAACAUCUGCACCAGAGAUCGAAAGAGAGAGGAAAGGAGGAAGGGACAAAGAAAGAGAGGAACAGACACUGAGCAGUGGUGUUAAUGACAAAGCCAGAUCACAACAGCAGUGGCAGGAAACAAACUCUCCUAACCAUCAAGAGAACAGCAGUCUCACUCUUCUGAGGGUUUGCAGGACUUCAAGACUUGUGCCAGGUUCACACUGCAACAACAGUAGCCCACUGAUGGAGGCCUUCAGAGAGGUGACAUUUCACUGGGCACGACAGCCAAGAAUACCAACAAACUGACAGCGUGAAAUUACAGAAGCACCUGAAUUUGCCCUUUCCUGGAUGCUCAAGCAGAGGCUGAACCAGGGCCACUGCUGACCAAAUGGGUGUCCCAUGUAUUGCCUGAAUUGCCCCCAUUCCCACCAAUAUUAAUAAGGAAUGGCAUAUUUUCAGUGCCUUGUGUUCGGUAAAAUGGCUGUCAAAGAAAGAUGCGGGUCACUUUGCCGUGUAAUGUUGAGUCUGAGCAGCACAUGAUAAAAGCCAUGGGAGGCUACAGUCUGAGGAAAUGCACUCCAGAGUUACAACUCACUAUUGUUUUGAAAUGCUGUCUGUGAAAAAUCAGGGGCAAAUUUCCAAAAGCAUUUCCAGUGGCAAUAAAUAUUGCAUAAUUCAGGGUUUGGAUUUAAGGCUUUGUUCUGUGUUUUUCUGUUUUGAUCUGUAGCUUCUUGCCUCAGAGAUGACAAAGAAUGUCAUGACACACGCGAAAUAAGGAAAAACAUCUCUUGUUUUCAUGUUCAAUUUCUCUCCCACACACUCAAUUUGUCUCACUCAAACAAGUUGAAGCAGUGAACUGUGUAAGUAACUGUAUUGUCCAAGCAAAUAAUUACAGUGGUUAUUUAAACAUAAACAUGAAUCCAGCAACUCUGAUGAUAAUGUAAACUAACUAACUCUCUCUCUCUGUUUAACUGUGGGGUGUAAGGGAGUAAUUGUGAAGGCUCUAGCCUUUGGCUAUUGUGAGUGGAAACACGCUGUCAUAUUACUACGUUUUUCUCUGUCUCUCAGCUUGUGGCACGGAGGGAGUGCGUCCUCAAAAAUAAGAAUCAUUCAAAUCAAUAAUGAUAGCAAAACCCUCACUGCUGCUUCGUCAUAUCAAACUACAUGUUUUAAUGGGUUCAAAGAGAGAGAAAGAAAAGCUCAUUAUCACAUUUUUGGGCACAUUUAAUCUUAUUCUUUGUCUUUGUCGUUUCUUAAUUCAAAUAAUAUUACUUUAUAAUAAUAUAAAAAAAUAAUAUUUCUUUAUAUUUAAACUUGUUAAUUGCUAUGUUCUUAGUUCAAUAUCAGGGGUGCACAUAACUUUUUUUGGCCUGGUUCUCAAGGGAGCACCUGGAGAUGUUGCUUGGUACUCACACUUUACACGACACACUUAUCCUAAAAGCUGUCCUCAUCACUUUCCUCCUGACUGCUCACUAUCUUCUUUUCUCUCGAACAUGGUAGAUGAUGAUAAUGAUUUUUUUUAUUUUUAUUUUACUAACAUUAAUGACACACAACAGCAAGAAUAUUAGGCUGCUGUCACUUUAAGAAGGAAAGCACGGACCGAAUAACUGACACACAUCCGGUUUCUUUCUCAACUGUUCACUUAUGACAUAACCGAGAGAAUACUUGCGGAGACAGGUAUUUUGACAUAAUUUUGUGUGUAUGUGUCCGUUCAAGCGCAAGUAAACGCGAAAGAGGAAUUAAUUUGGUGUUCGAGCGCUGUCUCUCUCUCUCUCUCUCUCUCUCUCUCUUUUUCUCUGCGUGAGCGCACACACAGAUAACAGCUCGCGAGUCCCGAUUUUCGCCUCUUCUUCCGCUUUUAAAAUCGUUUGAAUGUGUUAAUUGGCGAGACAAAACACAUCCAAAUGAUAAACUUUCACUCUAUGAUGGUUAAAUUUUGCAGUAAAUGCACAAAUCACAUGUGUGCCGAACCGUUGGACCUUAUCCGUACGGAUCACGGAUUAACUGCGAUCCGUUGCACACCUAAUAAUUAAAGAACACACUUAUCAUCAUGAUUGCUAUUUUACCAGAGAUGGAGAAAAAUCCUACUCCAUUAAGUAAACGUGUCACUGUGAACCGGUCCUCAAAAAUAUUGGUACUCAAAAGCGCUUCCCUCCAUGUUUUCUGGUUCCUGCGUACCAUUUAUGUGCAACCGUUUAUGCUGCAUAUUAAUUAAUUUUUUUUUUUUUUUUUUAAAUAAGUCUUUAAUAAAUAUUACAGGUUUAUUUGCACUUAUUUUAUUUUACAGUGCACAAUUUAUCAUUGUACACAGAUGUUUUGUCAAUACAAAUGUGCAGUUUUGUCAUGCCAAUAAAGCACACUAGAAUUAAGAAAGAGAGAGAGAGAGAGAGAGAGAGAGAGAGAGAGAGUUGUGUGUGUGGGGGAGAACAGUAUACUAUUAAAACAACAGCAGCAAAGAGAGAAAGGAACUUGUAGCAGUUUGGACUCCUGUUCUCCUGCUGGAAUGCACAGCAGUGGCAUUUACACGUUCAUGGCGAUUUAUGGAUGCUGGCUUCCUCCUUCAUUCUCUCUCUACAGUGUCUAAGCCAGUGGAGACAAGGGAUUGCAAUAGUAUUCUCCCCCCCCCUGCCCUUCCACACCUGUUGUGUCAAUAUGGCAUUGAUAGCGAGUGAGAAAGAAAGAAAGAACGUUUGUAUGCGUGACAGUGACAGUGACAAUCUGUUAAUGUAUGUGGGUCUUAAUGUGCAUUAAGGCAGCUGUAGUGAUGGUCCUCCUGUUAUUUAAUAUGAAAUAAAGAGAGACCAUGAAGAUUUACCUCUCUUCCCUGCCUCCCUUCUGCCCCACAAUUGCCUGGGUGAGUAAUGGAACCAAUUUAUUACACAAUAAUUUAACCAUAAAGUGAUAUCAAACCAUCCAAAUUGGUAUUAUAACUCAAUGUGGCUAUGACAGUGUAUUCCCUAUAGCUCAAUGAAAGUCUGCUGGAAUCUCAGGGCUUGGCAGUUCAAUCAGGAGUAUGAGAAGAAGAGAAAGACUCAGAUGUAGAUGAGACUUACUGUAAGCUCAUCUGAGGUACAUGAGGAUAGAGUGAGGGAUUGUGUUCUUUCACUCAGCUGUGAUAUAAGAGAGUAUAGAGAAAAGAAACGAGAGGGGGAGAAAGGCGAGGCUGAUGGGUCAGAAGGCGUUAUUGUAGUAUUAUUUAUAUACUAUUAAAGUGUUUAUUAAUAUUGUUAUUAAUUAUUUAUAAUAAAAUAUUUACUAUAAUUUUAUUAUAGUAUUUAUUAUUAUUUGUUUGUGUUUUUAUUAUUUUUUGUUUUUUAAAAUAAUUCUAUUUACCUCUAGUUUAUUUUUAUUUCAGUUUUAGUUUUAUUAAUUUAGGUUCUUUAACUUAAAACAUUAA